rnacentral:rRNA from 1 species
CCAAUAGCGUAUAUUAAAGUUGUUGCAGUUAAAAAGCUCGUAGUUGAAUUUCGGGGUUAGCAGGUCGGUCGUGCCAUCGGUAUGAACUGGCCUCGCUGAUCCCUACCUCUUGACGAACUGUGAUGCCAUUAAUUUGGUGUCGCAGGGAAUCAGGACUGUUACUUUGAAAAAAUUAGAGUGUUUAAAGCAGGCUCACGCUUGAAUACAUUAGCAUGGACUAAUGAAAUAGGACGUUUGAUCCUAUUUUGUUGGUUUCUAGGAUUGACGUAAUGAUUAAUAGGGAUAGUUGGGGGCAUUAGUAUUCAAUUGUCAGAGGUGAAAUUCUUGGAUUUAUUGAAGACUAACUACUGCGAAAGCAUUUGCCAAGGAUGUUUUCAUUAAUCAAGAACGAAAGUUAGGGGAUCGAAGACGAUCAGAUACCGUCGUAGUCUUAACCAUAAACUAUGCCGACUAGGGAUCGGAUGAUGUUAAUUUUUUAAUGACUCAUUCGGCGCCUUACG